GAUGAACGCUAGCGGCAGGCCUAAUACAUGCAAGUCGGACGGGAUCCAUUGAUAGCUUGCUAUCAAUGGUGAGAGUGGCGCACGGGUGCGUAACGCGUGAGCAACCUGCCUCCAUCAGGGGGAUAGCCUCUCGAAAGAGAGAUUAACACCGCAUAAUAUCAACAGUUCGCAUGUUCAGUUGAUUAAAUCUUUAUAGGAUGGAGAUGGGCUCGCGUGACAUUAGCUAGUUGGUAGGGUAACGGCUUACCAAGGCGACGAUGUCUAGGGGCUCUGAGAGGAGAACCCCCCACACUGGUACUGAGACACGGACCAGACUCCUACGGGAGGCAGCAGUAAGGAAUAUUGGUCAAUGGGCGGAAGCCUGAACCAGCCAUGCCGCGUGCAGGAUGACUGCACUAUGGGUUGUAAACUGCUUUUGUCCAGAAAUAAACCUAAAUACGAGUAUUUAGCUGAAUAUACUGAAAGAAUAAGGAGCGGCUAACUCCGUG
rnacentral:rRNA from 1 species